rnacentral:rRNA from 1 species
UGCCAGCCGCCGCGGUAAUACGGAGGGUGCGAGCGUUAAUCGGAAUUACUGGGCGUAAAGCGCGCGUAGGUGGUCUGUUAAGUCGGAUGUGAAAGCCCCGGGCUCAACCUGGGAACUGCAUUCGAUACUGGCAGACUAGAGUGCGAGAGAGGGAGGUAGAAUUCCAUGUGUAGCGGUGAAAUGCGUAGAUAUGUGGAGGAAUACCAGUGGCGAAGGCGGCCUCCUGGCUCGACACUGACACUGAGGUGCGAAAGCGUGGGGAGCAAACAGGAUUAGAUA